GAUGAACGCUGGCGGCGUGCCUAAUACAUGCAAGUCGAGCGAACAGACGAGGAGCUUGCUCCUCUGACGUUAGCGGCGGACGGGUGAGUAACACGUGGAUAACCUACCUAUAAGACUGGGAUAACUUCGGGAAACCGGAGCUAAUACCGGAUAAUAUAUUGAACCGCAUGGUUCAAUAGUGAAAGACGGUUUUGCUGUCACUUAUAGAUGGAUCCGCGCCGCAUUAGCUAGUUGGUAAGGUAACGGCUUACCAAGGCAACGAUGCGUAGCCGACCUGAGAGGGUGAUCGGCCACACUGGAAGAGAGGCACGGUCCAGACUCCGACGGGGGGCAGCAGUAGGGAAUCUUCCGCAAUGGGCGAGAGCCUGACGGAGCAACGCCGCGUGAGUGAUGAAGGUCUUCGGAUCGUAAAACUCUGUUAUUAGGGAAGAACAAAUGUGUAAGUAACUAUGCACGUCUUGACGGUACCUAAUCAGAAAGCCACGGCUAACUACGUG
rnacentral:rRNA from 1 species